rnacentral:lncRNA from 12 species
GCUCAGCUAUUUAAAAAAUGUUGAAUAUCAACAAUGGCUUUCACUGGGGCAUUGUCAACUUUUGUAUGAAGCAAUCUUGGCUGAAUGCGAUGGCUCCCAGUGCAGGGAGGGCUCGGCUCAGCGCUGCUGCGGAAUGGAAGACUGCCGCUCGCCUGCCCUUCUGUCUCUCGUCUCGGCAUGGUGACAUGGUUUGAGAGUCUUACCUGGCUCUCUUCAGCUAAACAGUCUUCAGGACCCUAAAGAUGCAGAGGGAAGGAUUAUGAAGAACGGCUGUGCAAUGGUGAACAGAUUCAUCCCCAGGCACCCAAUCCAUUAUCCUGUCAACAACAGCAGGUCCCUGCCACAGUUAGCAGCAACAUUGGCCAUAAUGAAAUCAUCAGUAAUCCCAAAACUCAUCUCAUCAUACCCAAGGUACAAGUUCUUAUCUUUUCUCGGACUGUAUGAUACCAUGACAAAACAGUUAAACAACAGGCUGUGGACACCAGUGGAAGACACAGGCUGUAGUCUUCAACAGUGAAUUACCUGUAGUACAUUUGCCUGCAGGUAAUGGAAUAUGACUUACCUUUAAUGGUGAAGAAACUCAAAGAAAUGGAUAUAUGGAUUAUCAGUGAGAAAACUGAUUUCAUUUUUACACUGUCAAAUGCUGAAACCAUUUCAUUUCAGCUCUACUUUUCAGUUCCUGUAUCAAAUUUGCUGGGAAAUUAAAAACAGGAAUCUUUAAAAACAAGAAUCUCAUGUUUAUAAUCGUAUUGAAAUGUGAACUGCGGGAAGAUUUUUUUUUUUUUUUUUUUUUUUUUUUUUGACAAACACGAUAAUUUGAUUGAUUUAGAUGGCUAACUGGAAAUUAAUUCGUCUAACGUAUUUGAGUAUAGUGGCUUUGAGUCCCACUUUUUAUUCAAUCGAUAUUAGGUAAUUGUCUUCUGCAAGUGAUUGAGUAAAAGAGCUUAAGCGCGGUUUACAAACUUGCUGAGAAUGAACAUUGUCUUGUAAUAUUAAUCUAUUUAAAGCCGGUUUAUCAUUACAUCUUUUAUGAUUUAUAUAGUUUGUUUCGAUUGCAAAAAUGUUAAGAAUUAACUUUUUAUUUUUAUUUUAACGGAUUUUUCUUUUAAUAAAUCCGUUAUAAGGAAAAUGUGUAAUUUGACACCGACAAGUAGCACGUUUUCUUUCUUUCUUCACGUAUUAGUAACUCAAAAUACCUAAAAUAAAUUAAAUAAGUUAGGUGAAAAUAGCGUUGCCCUUUUUAAAUAGGCUAAAUCAGUUUUAGCACAGAUGGUUUAAUUUUAAAGAGCGAACUCAUAUGCUUCAAAUUAAAAACAGGAUAUCAUUCCAAUAGUUCGCAGUGACAUCUGAAAGAAGGUCAAACUCAAGCCUCUUUCUUUAAUUGACCAGUGAAUAUUUUUUUACCAGUGUCAGAACCAGAGGGGAUGCAACCAUUCAGCAAAAUACAAUAGGAAUAACAGACCGUGCUGAAAAUGCAUCUUCAUUUGCAUAUUCGGUUCAAAAAUCAUGCAAAUCCCAAUGAGACGGUCUUUAUUGUGCCUGCAAUUGAAAAAUCAUUCUGUUAUCCAUGGUAACUCUGGCCUUAUUCGUAGCCAGUGAGUUGAAACAAAAAGUUAUUAAUUCAUAUGGCAAGACGUGUAAAUGGACUCCGGAGCCAUGGUUAAUGGUUCGGCGAAAUAUACCUAUUUGAUCUCAUUAAAAAGGUGAUUAUUAAAAUAUUAUUUAUUAGGCUAUACUAUUAGGCUAUUUAGUUUCGGUUUGGCUAUAGUGUUUAACGUAGGCUAUUAUAGUUACUGUGCUGUUCAUAUUUUGUUAGACAUAAUAUGUAGACCUAAUAUUAUUCCAGUCAAGCUUUUUCCAAAAUGUAGCUAUUAUUCACUAAUUCACUAAAUAAUUAGAAUGUUUUUAUAUAGGUUAUCCUUCAUAUAAGUUUUACCUUUUUAAGUAAAGUACAAACAGUAAAAGUAUUCCUGUAUAUGGUACACAAAUGACAAACAAUGCCUCUUUACAGCUCAUAAAAAUCAUUUAAAAAUAUUUAAAGUUUUCCCGCAUAAUUGUGUCUGAUGCUUUUGUAUCUCAAAGUGGGUGUGUCGCGUGCAGGAUUAUUGAAUAGCCUAUACCAAGUUCACUUAUUUUAACUUUGUAGAGCGCGGACAACACCUGAUUAUACCCUUAUUAGACUCGAAAAGGGGUCUUUUUUUUAGGCACUGUGUGCGCUUUGCUAUAAUUUACUUCCACUUUAAUUGUUUAGGUCGAACUAAUUUACAAGUGAAUCCACGGGCUCAAAAAAGGACUUUAAACGGCGAUAAAGAAUAUUAGUCCUGUGGUGAUUUAUUGUUAGGGUAGCCUAUUGUUGGUCUCUCAAUAGUUCAUCACGACAGAACAAGUUGUUCAAACAUUCAGCUAAUACAAAUCUUGCAUCCUACAUUUUUCAGUAAAAAACGUGACCUAUAAAUCAGUAACGAACUGAUAGGGUAUCCUAUUAAUUUUCCAUCUCAUGUUUUAAAUGGCACGGAUAAAUACAUUUUAAAAUAGGCAAAUAUUUUAUAUAUUUUAUUUGCGGUAAUUAGCACACAGUGGCCUCCUUAAUGUAUGUAUCUGCUGCACAGUGACAGUUUUAGUUUAUUCGGGUCAUUUGAACAGUCGCUGCUUAUUGCCUACUACACUAAUGGACAAUUCACUGCUCAUAUAGGCUACACGUGAGUGAUUUUCCGAAGCCCUGUGGCUCGGAGCUCAAUGAUGUUGAACACCGCAGGCUUUCCUGGUGGUCCUCGGCCUUAGCUCACGUUAAUUAGGAAAUUUGGAGAACAGAAGCCCUCAUUACCGAGCUCCGGGUAACUGGGAGUUUUCCUUUUCCCGCUGUCUUCUACAUUUCCAUAAGCAGAUUACAAGAGCAUUAUGUUCCUGAAACCACUGGGAUAAAUCACCGGUUUCAUGGAAUAAGUCUCUAAUUAGAACUUUUAUAAUAACGGCUGGUGCACGCUUUUCUAUGCUAUGUUAAUGUAAAGUGACUAACUGAUGUGCCAAAUGACAGAUGUAGUUUUUUUUAUUUUAUUUUAUUUUUGCCUCCCUGAAAACGACGGGAAAAUAUCCACUUUUCCUGUUGUUUUUGAGGAUAGUGUCGGUUACUUAUUCUCCAUGAAAAAUAUCAAUGUCUUUCUUUUGUCACUGAAAAUUAGGUUGUUUCUAGCCCACAAAUAGGCUUGUAGCCUAUAGCCUACUAUAUUUGACAUAACAAAUUAACGUGUUGGAGAAAUUACUGCCAAAAUAAAGAGUAACCUAUGUUUCAAUAAUUGGGCAAUGAUUUAUUUAUUUUUGUUCCCCUCUAUUUUAUUCGGUAGCCUGACCAGAUCAUUCUUUUAAAUUGCCCUAUAAUGAAAUUCUAUGAUGAAUAAUUUAUGCCGCUUUACAAUUGGAAACCUCUGCCCUGAAUGACAUCCUCGAGUGACAACACUGGCACUUGUUAAGAGUAGGUUUGGAAAGUAGCCUAAAUAGCGGAGACGUGUUGGGGUCCUAAAUGUCCUACAAAUCGGUCACACACGGUGAAACUUCUCUAAAUGGCAGAGUCGUUAGUGUGUGGUGUUAAAAGCCCAUCGUGAAUAUUCAGUGCUGUAAUCGGUCUUAGUGGCGUUGAAUGUGUUAAAUGACGAUGUUCUCGAUACGACGUGGUAAUACUGACCCACUGAAAGGUGUAAGUUCUCCCCAGGAGACAGAAAAGCUCUCAAAACCGAACACGUCCCGAGUCAUCAAUAAAUCACAUAAUAAGACGCGGAAUGAUUGCAAUUGACAGUGAUUGGUGGUGUAAAAAUUCAAUAAUUAGGCUAUACUCCAUAUUGGCGUGGCAGUUGUAAAAAUUCGUUUUUAGAGGAGUUGUUUGUAGCUAUUGUCACCUCAGAGUUUUUUUUUUUUUUUUGCGUCAGAACAAUAUAAAAUUGGUCCACAGGGGGGCGUUACUGUAUUAAUUUUCUAUUUCACACUAUAAGUUGUCAUUGUGGAUACUUGACAAAAACGCGAAGUGUAUUUUUAAAACAAAUCUAUUUUUUUUGUUGAAUGUUUGUUUUUUACAUAGUUUUAAUGUUAUAGUGUUAUAAUAGGUAAUUGAGCUGUCAAGUAAAAUUUAGAAAAUAUUAGGAGACAAAGAAUGUAAAUUUUGAUGUUAAAAUCGUAGGGUAGCCUACUUUUAAUUAAAGAAUUAAAAGCUAAAAUUUCCACCGUCUAAUUUUGUAGCAGAUUAUCUUCUUUAAGAAUAAUACUAAUUAAAAUCCUAUAUUAAUGGCGAAAUAAGCCAAGGCAAAAAGGUUCAGUUUGAUGUAGCCAACCAAAAGUAAAACCAAGCUUUUGCAUUAGUGGAUACAAGAUUGUCCCAUGUAGCCUAUUUUUUAUAUUAAUUUAAUUAUUUAUUUAUUAUUUGUUUAAUUAAUGAUUAUUGUUGUGUGCCAUUGCUGCAAAGUUUAUAGUUUAAAUAUUUAUGUUUGAAUCCAAUAUGUAGGAUCUAUCCUGAUUCUUGCCUUUAUUUUAGGCAAUAGAAACAUGCUUUUUUCCUUUAGUUGUAUUACAUUGUGCAGUUUUUGCAUUUUCACAUUUGAAAUAGGCUAAUAUGUAUUUAACUCAUUCUUUACCGCAAAAUCAGGGUAAGGCUAACAUUCUCAGUGGAUAACGACCGCUUUAAAACAAUAUUUGCAAAGUGAUUACUUUUGUCAAAAGUGCAAAGAUGCCCCUGACGUAUUUUAUCCCACUUAAAGUGCGUCCCGAAACACAGUGCACUGGCAGCGCGCUGCUUGGAUGGCGGAGUGUGAGGCGCUCUCUGAUUGGUCGGCGCUGAGCUCAUUGUUAUGCUGUCAAUCCAAAUCACAUGGCCGAGCCUCUAUUAACAGCUGAGUUUAUCGCACAACUUUGCAGAGUUCCGUGGCAGAGCAGAGCAGAGCAAGACACACGGGACUAGCGUGGAGACAGUUGAAAGGGUUCGCUGCUUUUCACUUGACCAGAGUUUUAGCUCUCUUGAACUUUUGACUGACAACAGGCUUCUUUAUUUUGUGAGGCUAUUUAAACUUCAGCGUUUUCUUUCGAGUGCUCGGC